GACUUACUAUAGUUACAGCUUUUAGAAGCACUCUCUUGAACUUGGCAAGAGUUACUUUGGUUAAGUUGACUGUCAUAUCAGAGUGUGAAAUAGAAAUGCCCAACAUGGAUAUUUACCCAAAAUAUUGUCAAAGGAAUAUGGAAAUAGAAAAUAGCACCAUUUUUGAAAAACUUUGAGCUGAUUAUUCUAAAGAUUGAGAUUAACAAUACUGUAAUCUUCACUAAAGAUAAAGGCACAAGGCCUGAAAUUUGGUGGAAGAGAGCCAGUCGAUUA